UAAUACUUAGUCAUAAUUAUUGGUUACAAAUUUGAAGAUUUAGUUUUGGCUGUGGAACGUACUGUUCGAAACCCAAACCCCCCAGCCCACCCAGCCUGAUCUCGGCCCACACAUUCGAAUUCCUUCACCGACUCUUCUUGUUCAGCGAUUAUUUUGCAUGGUUUGCAUAUAUAUAUAUACACACAUAAUGAUCUCUACCUCUACGCAAACCCUACCUGCCGCCUCACCUGAACCGCUCCUCCUCGCCCGAAACACUACGUCGAACCAACCACUACCUUCUUCUCCGGCGAGUUCACCGGCGAACACCGGACGCGAUUGAUCAAAAGUUAUUUUAGCAAGUAGACUAUCUGCCGAGCAAAUCAAUGUAAUUAUUGAAGGAGCUUGGGAGCUUGCCGUCUGAUGCUGCUGGAGUGGUUAUGGUCAUGAUAAACAUUUACAUUGACUUGGUUUCGAUACAUU